UUUAUUCUUCCCAAUGGACUC
ensembl:piRNA 21ur-9395 ncRNA